ensembl:misc_RNA Metazoa_SRP Metazoan signal recognition particle RNA
GCCGGGUGCAGUGGCGCGCGCCUGUAAUCCAAGCUGCUGGGAGGCUGAGGCUGGCGGAUCGCUUGAGUUCAGGGGUUCUGGGCUGCAGUGGACUAUGUCGAUCGGGUGUCCGCGCUAAGUUCGGUAUCGAUAUGGUGCUCCUGGGGGAGCUCGGGACCACCAGGUCGUCUAAGGAGGGGUGAACCGGCCCAGGUCGGAGACGGAGCAGGUCAAAGCCCCCGUGCCGAUCAGUAGUGGGGUCGCACCUGUGAAUAGACACUGCAGUGCAGCCUGAGCGAUACAGCGAAACUCAGUCUUUU